GACGAACGCUGCGGCGUGCUUAACACAUGCAAGUCGAACGGAAAGGCCCUGCUUUUGUGGGGUGCUCGAGUGGCGAACGGGUGAGUAACACGUGAGUAACCUGCCCUUGACUUUGGGAUAACUUCAGGAAACUGGGGCUAAUACCGGAUAGGAGCUCCUGCUGCAUGGUGGGGGUUGGAAAGUUUCGGCGGUUGGGGAUGGACUCGCGGCUUAUCAGCUUGUUGGUGGGGUAGUGGCUUACCAAGGCUUUGACGGGUAGCCGGCCUGAGAGGGUGACCGGCCACAUUGGGACUGAGAUACGGCCCAGACUCCUACGGGAGGCAGCAGUGGGGAAUAUUGCACAAUGGGCGGAAGCCUGAUGCAGCAACGCCGCGUGCGGGAUGACGGCCUUCGGGUUGUAAACCGCUUUCGCCUGUGACGAAGCGUGAGUGACGGUAAUGGGUAAAGAAGCACCGGCUAACUACG
rnacentral:rRNA from 1 species